rnacentral:sRNA from 1 species
GCUGGGCAUGGUGGUGCAUGCCUGUAAUCCCAGUGGCUUGGGAGGCUGAAGCAGGAGGAUCAUGAGGUCAAAACCAGCCUCAG